rnacentral:tRNA from 1 species
CUCUGAGUAGCUAUAACUACCAAAGCGCCAGCCUUUUAAUCUGGAGACGGGCACAAUCCCCUCAGAGU